CUUGGAUCUCUUUUUUUUUUUUCUCCUCUUGUGCUCUCAUCAGAAUUGAUAUGCAAAUCACUUCACUCGAUCAAUUCAUUUCAUAAUUGAAAAAAAAUAAUAAAUAAUUAAAAAAUAACUAGAAAGCAACUUAAAAACAACUUUAAUAAAAAAUAAUUAAAAAAUAACUCGAUCAAUUCAUUUCAAAAGUAUCUUUAAUAUUUUCUAACGGUUCCUUCAGAAAUAGAAGUUUUUGAAACCCUUACACCACUCUUCUCCUACCCAUUUCAUUCGACUCAUUACCACCAGCACCACCGGGUUAUUUAACCCAGUAUUUGCGAGUUAUCAAGUUUCAUGACUGAGCCGCUUCUCUCUUCGAUUCAGCCCGAAUGGAUUCGUCCUAAGACAAUGCCCAUCUAACUUAGCCAAAUCUGAUUUUUGGAAAUUGUCUGGUGCUAAAAGUCUAUCUUUAUUGUUACAGGUUGUGGUUUAUCUCUUCAAAUGGGGACUGAUUUAGUUUGAUUAGUAAUUGUAAAGUGGUUUUUGCUUUGUCAUUUUGACUAAUUGCACUCUUUGCAUUUUUAUUUGGUAUUUUUUUUGUUGGAUCAUUUUUUUUAUGUAAUUAAUGGUUAAAAGAGUGUUUAAUGAUAUUAGUUUUGUUUUUGUUGCUCUGUCAUCUGGCUUCACGGCUUAACAAUGAAGGUAAUAGCCUUUAUUCUUCGUAAUCCGACAUGAAUUUUACUAUGUAAUUAUUAUUAUUAAACUGAUUUUUGGUUUUGUUCUGAUAUAAGUUGUUGUUAUUGCAAAGCAUGGUGAAAAAACAUGGAUGUUGAUAUAAAGUCAAUGUUCUAUUUAAUGAAGAGUAUCGAUGUUAAAAGCAGAAUGUUGCUACUUCAGGAAUCUAUGUUGAUAAAAAGAUCAAUUGGUGGUUUGUAUGGUGGCUUUGGUGUAGUACUGUUAGUGGUACUUAAGAAAUUAGAAAGAAAGGAAAGGAAUAAGAGCACACAUAUGGGUUGUCUCUGUAUUUUUUUCUAAUACUUGCGCUGUUUUUUUUUUCUUCUUCUUUUUAAGAGAAAAGGGUUAGGAGGGGAGAUCAUUGUCUACUGCUGCAUGAAAUCACUUUCCUUGUAUCAGCAGAAAAAUAAGAGAGACUGCACUGUUAAAUUACAGAGUUUAGACAUAGACUAUAGUUUAGCCAAUUUUGUGUUAAAUUGGACCAAAAUAUACUUAAAAGUGAUUUUAAUUUCAUUUAAGGUGGAGAUUCUGUUCUUUGAUUAAUCUAAUAUGCAGUAUUCAAUUUGGUUUGAGAUUGAUAAGAAUAUGGCAAGGGAGAUCAUAAAUGACAGGUCACUUGCUUCAAGGUGGUUUUGACACCAAGCCGUCUAGCUAUGGAGUAUGCUGCUGGAGGAGAGCUGUUUGAGCAAAUCUGCGAUAUUGAAAGAUUCAGCAAAGGUAAGAUUUUUAUGUCUCUUUUCAACUUCAAUUUUUGGAAUAUGAAUACACUAAGUAGAGUAGUAACUUUGUACAAAUCGAGGCAAAAACUUGAGAAAUGAUUUAGCUCAAAUUACUUUUUUAUUGUCUGCAAAACUUGUCUUUUCUUUUGCGUUGCAUGCUGGAUACUUCUUCCAACAACUUAUUUCUGGAGUCAGCUAUUAAUGUUCCCUAGAUCAGAUAACAUUUUGCUUUUUGAUGGAUAGGGAAAUUGGUCUAUAUUAUUUAUUUGUUCUGUUCUAAUUAUAUGCAACAGAUAUGUCAUAAAUCAAUCAACAAUACAUAUGUUUUUUUGUUACAUGUAUCGAAUGAAGAAAAAGAAGCUAUUAUGAAAGUGGAACCUAAUUUGCAUAUUUACUCUAGCAAAGACCUAGACAUAUAAGCCCUUUAUAUUUUAUUCAAUUUGCUUUACAUGGGUCAUUUUGCCUUUUGAAGUAAAGUAUGCAAUGUAGUCAUUUGAUCAUUCCAUGGUGUUGUUAAAAAAUUUACUUAAGUUAAUGUUCUUAAGGAACUUGGAUCUCUCUUGUUUACUUUAAGAUUUUGUAUGAUGAGGGAGAAUAUUUAAAAGAAGUUCAUGAAAAAAUUGAUAAGUUAAUAAAAUGUCGGAUAAUUUUAAGUUCAGGUUCUAUAAAAUGUUGUUCAAUAGGAAAUUAAUUGCAUUCUUGUUUGAACUGUGUUGCUCGAUGUGGCUCUUUGGAGAUUAUUAGUCUUGUUGGGUUUUCUUUUCAAAGCAAUAUCAUUUUAUAAUAUGCAGUUUUGAAGUCUGACUUUUCAAAACUUUCUUGUUUCAUCCUGGAAAAGUUUCUUCUUUCUAUUGUUGCAGUGAUGAUGGUUGGUUUUGCAUCGGUCAUAUUAAAGUAGCUUUAGUAUGUUAUGUUCUUAAACUAUUAUUAUAUUCUUGGUCACAACUCUUCAAUAAAACUUGCAUAUAUAGUCAAUUUGCUAGAAAUCAGAAGCUUCUUUUUCUUGUCUCAAAAAUAAGCACCUAAAGGCAUUGUCUAAGAACUAACAACACCUUCAGCCUGUUGGUGCCUCUUUGAUAAAAAAAAUGAUAAUGUGCUUUUAAAUUAUCAAAUUGUCAACACUAGCAAAGACUUUUAAGUAGUUAGUUAGGAUUCAUUGAAUUUACUGAUUGCAUAAUUGAUUUGGAUGCUAAGUACUUAUAUUUUCUAUUAUGCAAGGGUUGUCACUCAAUGAGUUCACAUGUGCAUUUGUCAUGCAUCAUAGAGUCACAUCUAAGUCAUUCAUUGUCAUGUAUGAAGGUUGUAUAUUAGUUUGACAUUUAUGGACACAAGAACAUUAGUUUCAAAAUAAUAAUUAAAAAAAUGAAAUCAAAUGAUUGUUAAAAACUCAAUCAUUUUACAGUCCAUAUUGAAGAUGAAUUUGAAAAAGACAUGAAAUAUGAAUGAACAAUUUUAGAUAUAACUCGAGAUAUAUUAAAGUCCAAGUUGUCAGUCAAUCAGUCGCAUAUGCAUUGGUCCUGCAUCAAAGUCACAUAUAAGUCAUGCAUUAUCAAGUACUAAGGUCAUAUAUUAGGAUGACACAUUGGAUACAAGGACAUUAGUUCCAAUAUAAUAAUAUAAGAAAACAAAAUGAAUGAUUGUGCAAAAUAACAUCAUUUUAGCGUUCAAAUUGUUAAAAAUAAAUUUUAUAAGGACAUGAAAUGUGAAUGAACAAUUUUGGACAUAACCUGAGAUAGAUCAAAGUCCUAGGUAAGUAAUAUUUAAGUAUGAAAUGGACAACACAUCAAGGUGCAAGGAAGGAGUAUAACAUUAAGAUCUUGAUGUAUACGAGCACAUAUUAAGUUUAAUAUCUAUUAUUUGGGUCCCAUCCAACUUGCUGUAUAAGUGUCUUUAGAGCAAUAAAACUUGAGAAUAACGAUAAGUUUGUGAGUUGAUACUUAAAUUACCUUACUGCAUGAUUAUUAUUAAUUUUUUGAUGAUAAUUAUUAUUAUUAUUAUUACUGUUGUUGUAGUUGUAGUUGUUAUUAUUAUUACUACUAUUACUACUACUACUAUUUCUACUACUAUAUUGCCAUGAGUAUUAUUAAGCUAUAAUUGAUAUUGUAUUAUACGAUGUGAAAUAAUGUGAUGAUGUUUGGUUUAGUAUAUGCUAGAAUUACUUCUGAAAUCAAAGUAGAAGUUUAGUAAUAAGAGCCUAGGUUUAUAAUAAUCAGUCAAGCGACUUGGUAAGUACACAAUUCUUGAUUGUCUUUUAUUAAUUUCUUUUAUUUGUACAUGAUAAGUCACUUACUAGUGAUGAAGGUUUUGCAUUUAUUAAAUUUUACAAAUUGGGAAUGCUUUUUGGCAAUCGGUCUUUAGUUUCAAUAUAUCAUAAUAAUUCAGUUUGAUAAAGAUAAAAAGGAUUUGAUAAUAGUUUUAGAAGUAAAUUUUGAAAUUUGAAUGUUUUAUGAACUUUAUUAUUUUGAAACUUCAUGAUUGUGGCCAAGUUGUCAGCCAAUGAGUGGCAUAUGCAUUGGUCAUGCAUCAUAGUCAUAUAUAAGUCAUGACACAUUAGACAGAAUGACAUUAUUUCCAAAAUAAUAAUAUAAGAAAAUGAAAUGAAAUGUUUGUGAAAAUAAAAUCAUUUUAUAGUUCAUGUUGUUAAAAAUGAACUUUAUAAGGAUAUGGAUGAUGAUCAAACAAUUUUGGGUAUUAAUCUGAAAUUGAUCAAAUUCCUCUAGGUAAGUUAUAUUUAACUAUGAAAUGGUCAAUGCAUCAAGGUGCAAGGAAGGAAUACAACAUCAAGAUCUUGAUGUAUACAAACACUUACUAAUUUUGAUUUCCAUUUAUUUAGGUCCCAUUCGACUCGCUGCACAAGAGUUUGAAAGCUAUAAAACUUAAGGAUAAUGAGAAGUUUGUGAGUUCAUACUCACCUUACUGCAUGAUAUUAUUAUUGCUUUCAUUAUUAUUAUUUCUACUACUACUACUACAACUGCUACAAUUACUACUAUUUCUACUAUGACUGUGUUGCUAUGAGUAUUGUUAAGAUAUAUUGGUUGUUGUAUUAUAUGAUUUGAAAUAAUGUGAUAAUGUUUAUUUUAGUAUUUGCUAGAAUUACAUCCAAUAUGAAAAUAGUGGUUUUGUAUUAGGAGGCUAGGUUCAUAAUAACCAGUUAAACGACUCGGUAAGUAUACAAUUCUUGAUUUUUUUUGUUAAUUUCUUUUAUUUGUACAUGACAAGUGAGUUACUGGUGAUGGAAGUUUUGAAUGUAUUAAAUUUUACAAAUUGAAAAUAUUUUUUGGCAAUUGCGGCUUUAGUUUUAAUAUACUAUAAUAAAUAAGUUUGAUAAAGGUAAAAAGAAUUUGAUGAUAUUUUAGAGGGGCAUUUUGAAAUUUGAAUUUUCUUAUGAAUUAUGUUAUUUUGGAACUUCAUUCUUAUGUCCAAGUUGUCAAUCACUGAGUCGCAUAUGUAUUAGUCAUGCAUUAUAGUCACAAAUAAGUCACGCAUUGUCAAGUAAUAAAGUCAUCCAUUAACAUCACAAUUUGGACACAAGGAUAUUAUUUUCAAAAUAAUAAUAUAAGAAAAUGAAAUGAAAUGUUUAUGAAAAAUAAAAUCAUUUUAAAAUCAUAUUAUUAACAAUGAACUUUAUAAAGACAUGAAAGCGGAAUAAACAAUUUUCGAUAUAAUUUGAGAUUUAUCAAACUACUCUUUGUAAGUUAUUCCUAAGUAUGAAAUAGACAAUACAUCAAGGUACAAAGAAUAAGUACAACAUCAAGAUCUUAAUGUAUAACAGCGCAUACUAAUUUUGCUUUCUAUUUAUUUAGAUCCCAUCCAACUCACUCCACAACAGUUUUGAACGCUAUGCAACUUGAGGAUAACAAUAAGUUUAUCCCAUCCAACUCACUCCACAAGAGUUUUGAAAGCUAUGCAACUUGAGGAUAACAAUAAGUUUAUCCCAUCCAGCUCACUCCAUAAGACUUUUGAAAGCUAUACAACUUGAGGAUAACAAUAAGUUGACGUGGUUCGGUUAUUCCUAUUUGUUUCUAUCUAUUGGUGGGGGGGGUAUAUGAAGGAACGAAACAGUGGAUUGAGGAAUGAAAGCUCGAAGACAAAGAGCCUCCCGGCUUAAAGGAUUGUGGCUUUUCAGAGAAAUCCAAGUAGUCGUAAAAAAGACAAACCGAUUCACCACCUAAAAUAGACCCUUCACCCCUUGUCAUGGACCCGGUUCAAGGCGCGAAACCUAGUCAGAGCGCAUUAGGAAGUGGUUAACAUAACCCUCAUGCCAUAUGAUCUCAUUAUUAUUUGCUAGAACUAAAUCCAAUAUGAAAAUAGUGGUUUGUACUUGGAGGCUAGGUUCAUAAUAACCAGUUAAGCGACUCGGGAAGUACACAAUUCUUAAUUUUUUUUGUUAAUCUCUUUUAUUUGUAAAUCACAAGUGAGUUAGUGGUAAUGGAAGUUUUGAAUGUAUUAAAUUUUACAAAUUGAAAAUAUUUUUUGGCAAUUGGGGCUUUAGUUCAGUAUACUAUAAUAAAUCAGUUUCAUAAAGGUAGAAAGAAUUUGAUGAUAUUUUAGAGAGGCAUUUUAAAAUUUGAAUUUUCUUAUGAAUUAUGUUAUUUUGGGACUCGAUUCUUGUGUCCAAGUUGUCAAUCACUGAGUCGCAUAUACAUUGGUCAUGCAUCAUAGUCACAUAUAAGUCAUGCAUUGUCAAGUACUAAAGUCAUCCAUUAGCAUCACAAUUUAGAUACAAGGACAUUAUUUUCAAAAUAAUAAUAUAAGAAAAUGAAAUGAAAUAUUUAUGAAAAAUAAAAUCAGUUUAGAGUUCACAUUAUUAAUAAUGAACUUUAUAAGGGAAUGAAAGGUGAACGAACAAUUUUCGAUAUAAUCUGAGAUUGCACAAAGUACUCUUGGUAAGCUAUUUCUAAGUAUAAUAUAAACAACACAUGAAGGUACAAGAAAAGAGUACAAUAUCAAGAUCUUAAUGUACAAGAGCACAUACUAAUUUUGCUUUCUAUUUAUUUAGAUCUCAUCAAACUCACUCCACAAGAGUUUUGAAAGCUAUGCAACUUGAGGAUAACAAUAAGUUUAUCCCAUCCAACUCACUCUACAAGAGUUUUGAAAGCUAUGCAACUUGAGGAUAACAAUAAGUUUGUGAGACUUCUUUGGUGAUACUGGUGUAUGUUGAUGAUCUCAUUAUUGGUGGGAAUAAUUCACAUUAGUUGUAAAAUUUAAAUCGUAUUUGAGUAAGUGCUUCCAUAUGAAAGAUUUGGGCUGCGACAAGCUCCGCAAUGCUGGUUUACAAAAUUGGCUGCUGUACUGAAACGGUAUAGGUUCUCUUAGUCCCAUUCUGAUUAUUCAUUAUUCACCUUCAUUGAAGGUGAGACAGACUUAUUUGGUGGUACUGGUGUAUGUUGAUGAUCUCAUUAUUGGUUGGAAUAAUUCACAUGUGAUUGUAAAAUUUAAAUCGUAUUUGAGUAAGUGCUUCCAUAUGAAGCAUUUGGGUGUUUUGAAAUAUUUUCUGGGCAUUGAAGUGGCAUCUCAAAUAUUCUAUGGGCAAAAUUACAGAAACCCAAACGAGCCCUUCAAUGGUGACUUAAUCAGUUGCUAUAAGUAACACCUCAAAUCCCCUAACCGCCA